AAUGCUAGGGGUGCCUUUAUUGGCUGAGAGGUUUUGCCGACCCUUGUACCUGAUCUGGAUAAUACCAGCGGAGGAAAGCUAUAUA
rnacentral:ncRNA from 1 species